UCCCGGAGUAGACCACCCAGCUCGUCAUGCUAGAGCACUUUUUCAAUGGGCUCCCAAACGACAAGGCGACAACGCAUUCGUAUGUCAUCCUUAUCAACUUUCGAUGCCAUUUACUGCACCUACCAUGGUGCCCCCGGGUAACGGGGAAUAGGGGUUCGAUUCCGGAGGGGGAGCCUGAGAAACGGCUACCACAUGCAAGGAAGGCAGCAGGUGCGCAAAUGACCCACUCCCGAUGCGGGAAGGUAGUGACGA
rnacentral:rRNA from 1 species